rnacentral:rRNA from 1 species
GAUGAACGCUGGCGGCGUGCCUAAUACAUGCAAGUCGAGCGAACAGACGAGGAGCUUGCUCCUCUGACGUUAGCGGCGGACGGGUGAGUAACACGUGGAUAACCUACCUAUAAGACUGGGAUAACUUCGGGAAACCGGAGCUAAUACCGGAUAAUAUAUUGAACCGCAUGGUUCAAUAGUGAAAGACGGUUUUGCUGUCACUUAUAGAUGGAUCCGCGCCGCAUUAGCUAGUUGGUAAGGUAACGGCUUACCAAGGCAACGAUGCGUAGCCGACCUGAGAGGAUGAGCGGCCACACUGGAACUGAGACACGGUCCAGACUCCUACGGGAGGCAGCAGUAGGGAAUCUUCCGCAAUGGGCGAAAGCUUGACGGAGCAACGCCGCGUGAGUGAUGAAGGUCUUCGGAUCGUAAAACUCUGUUAUUAGGGAAGAACAAAUGUGUAAGUAACUAUGCACGUCUUGACGGUACCUAAUCAGAAAGCCACGGCUAACUACGUG